GGGAGAGAGAAGGGCCUUGGGAAGCUGCUCCAUGAGCCACAGCUGUGCCGAGCCCGGGAGUCUGUCCAGCAGGAUGUGGAGUGCCACCAUGUCCCCGAGGUCACCCUUUCUGCUGUUGGGAGAGCAUGAGGUGGAUGGAGAGGAUCCCCAGGCAUCUGCAGGCAAAAGGGACUGGCACAACUGCGAUUUUUCUCCAGCUCUCUUAAGGUGGACUUUCAGGGUACCAUGGGGAAUAACUCCUGUCAGCAGCAAGGUCCCGACUGAAGUGGCAGC